GAUGAACGCUGGCGGCGUGCCUAACACAUGCAAGUCGAGCGGUAACACUUCGGGUGACGAGCGGCGGACGGGUGAGUAACGCGUGGGAAUCUACCCCAAACUGAGGGAUAAGCACCGGAAACGGUGUCUAAUACCGCAUAUGGUCUUCGGAUUAAAGCUUCGGCGGUUUGGGAAGAGCCCGCGUAAGAUUAGCUAGUUGGUAAGGUAAUGGCUUACCAAGGCGACGAUCUUUAGCUGGUUUGAGAGGAUGAUCAGCCACACUGGAACUGAGACACGGUCCAGACUCCUACGGGAGGCAGCAGUGAGGAAUUUUCCACAAUGGGGGCAACCCUGAUGGAGCAACGCCGCGUGCAGGAUGAAGGUUUUCGGAUUGUAAACUGCUUUUCUACGUGACGAAUAUGACGGUAGCGUACGAAUAAGGAUCGGCUAACUCCGUGCCAGCCGCCGCGGUAA
rnacentral:rRNA from 1 species